AUUGAACGCUGGCGGCAGGCCUAACACAUGCAAGUCGAGCGGAUGAAGGGAGCUUGCUCCUGGAUUCAGCGGCGGACGGGCGAGUAAUGCCUAGGAAUCUGCCUGGUAGUGGGGGAUAACGUCCGGAAACGGGCGCUAAUACCGCAUACGUCCUGAGGGAGAAAGUGGGGGAUCUUCGGACCUCACGCUAUCGGAUGAGCCUAGGUCGGAUUAGCUAGUUGGUGGGGUAAAGGCCUACCAAGGCGACGAUCCGUAACUGGUCUGAGAGGAUGAUCAGUCACACUGGAACUGAGACACGGUCCAGACUCCUACGGGAGGCAGCAGUGGGGAAUAUUGGACAAAGGGCGAAAGCCUGAUCCAGCCAUGCCGCGUGUGUGAAGAAGGUCUUCGGAUUGUAAAGCACUUUAAGUUGGGAGGAAGGGCAGUAAGUUAAUACCUUGCUGUUUUGACGUUACCAACAGAAUAAGCACCGGCUAACUUCGUG
rnacentral:rRNA from 1 species